AUGCACGCUGGCGGCGUGCCUAAUACAUGCAAGUCGAGCGAACAGACGAGGAGCUUGCUCCUCUGACGUUAGCGGCGGACGGGUGAGUAACACGUGGAUAACCUACCUAUAAGACUGGGAUAACUUCGGGAAACCGGAGCUAAUACCGGAUAAUAUAUUGAACCGCAUGGUUCAAUAGUGAAAGACGGUUUUGCUGUCACUUAUAGAUGGAUCCGCGCCGCAUUAGCUAGUUGGUAAGGUAACGGCUUACCAAGGCAACGAUGCGUAGCCGACCUGAGAGGGUGAUCGGCCACACGGGAACUGAGACACGGUCCAGACUCCUACGGGAGGCAGCAGUAGGGAAUCUUCCGCAAUGGGCGAAAGCUUGACGGGGCAACGCCGCGUGAGUGAUGAAGGUCUUCGGAUCGUAAAACUCUGUUAUUAGGGAAGAACAAAUGUGUAAGUAACUAUGCACGUCUUGACGGUACCUAAUCAGAAAGCCACGGCUAACUACGU
rnacentral:rRNA from 1 species